rnacentral:rRNA from 1 species
CGCGUAGGUGGUUUGUUAAGUUGGAUGUGAAAGCCCCGGGCUCAACCUGGGAACUGCAUCCAAAACUGGCAAGCUAGAGUACGGUAGAGGGUGGUGGAAUUUCCUGUGUAGCGGUGAAAUGCGUAGAUAUAGGAAGGAACACCAGUGGCGAAGGCGACCACCUGGACUGAUACUGACACUGAGGUGCGAAAGCGUGGGGAAGCAAACA